UACGUAGGGUGCAAGCGUUAAUCGGAAUUACUGGGCGUAAAGCGUGCGCAGGCGGUGAUGUAAGACAGAUGUGAAAUCCCCGGGCUCAACCUGGGAACUGCAUUUGUGACUGCAUCGCUGGAGUGCGGCAGAGGGGGAUGGAAUUCCGCGUGUAGCAGUGAAAUGCGUAGAUAUGCGGAGGAACACCGAUGGCGAAGGCAGUCCCCUGGGCCUGUACUGACGCUCAUGCACGAAAGCGUGGGGAGCAAACAGG
rnacentral:rRNA from 1 species